rnacentral:rRNA from 1 species
CCUACGGGAGGCUGCAGUGAGGAAUAUUGGUCAAUGGACGAGAGUCUGAACCAGCCAAGUAGCGUGAAGGAUGACUGCCCUAUGGGUUGUAAACUUCUUUUAUAUGGGAAUAAAAUGUUCCACGUGUGGGAUUUUGUAUGUACCAUAUGAAUAAGGAUCGGCUAACUCCGUGCCAGCAGCCGCGGUAAUACGGAGGAUCCGAGCGUUAUCCGGAUUUAUUGGGUUUAAAGGGAGCGUAGGUGGAUUGUUAAGUCAGUUGUGAAAGUUUGCGGCUCAACCGUAAAAUUGCAGUUGAAACUGGCAGUCUUGAGUACAGUAGAGGUGGGCGGAAUUCGUGGUGUAGCGGUGAAAUGCUUAGAUAUCACGAAGAACUCCGAUUGCGAAGACAGUUCACUGGACUGCAACUGACACUGAGGCUCGAAAGUGUGGGUAUCAAACAGGAUUAGAUACCCUUGUAGUC